rnacentral:rRNA from 1 species
UGGGGAAUUUUGGACAAUGGGGGAAACCCUGAUCCAGCCAUCCCGCGUGUGCGAUGAAGGCCUUCGGGUUGUAAAGCACUUUUGGCAGGAAAGAAACGUCGCGGGUUAAUACCCCGCGAAACUGACGGUACCUGCAGAAUAAGCACCGGCUAACUACGUGCCAGCAGCCGCGGUAAUACGUAGGGUGCAAGCGUUAAUCGGAAUUACUGGGCGUAAAGCGUGCGCAGGCGGUUCGGAAAGAAAGAUGUGAAAUCCCAGAGCUUAACUUUGGAACUGCAUUUUUUAACUACCGGGCUAGAGUGUGUCAGAGGGAGGUGGAAUUCCGCGUGUAGCAGUGAAAUGCGUAGAUAUGCGGAGGAACACCGAUGGCGAAGGCAGCCUCCUGGGAUAACACUGACGCUCAUGCACGAAAGCGUGGGGAGCAAACAGGAUUAGAUACCCUGGUAGUCCACGCCCUAAACGAUGUCAACUAGCUGUUGGGGGCCUUCGGGCCUUGGUAGCGCAGCUAACGCGUGAAGUUUGACCGCCUGGGGGAGUACGGUCGCAAGAUUAAAACUUAAAUGAAUUGAC